rnacentral:rRNA from 1 species
UACGGGGGGGGCAAGCGUUGUUCGGAAUUACUGGGCGUAAAGGGCUCGUAGGUGGCCAACUAAGUCAGACGUGAAAUCCCUCAGCUUAACUGGGGAACUGCGUCUGAUACUGGAUGGCUUGAGUUUGGGAGAGGGAUGCGGAAUUCCAGGUGUAGCGGUGAAAUGCGUAGAUAUCUGGAGGAACACCGGUGGCGAAGGCGGCAUCCUGGACCAUUACUGACACUGAAAAGCGAAAGCCAGGGGAGCAAACGGG